rnacentral:tRNA from 1 species
AUUAGGGUAGCUUAAGUAAAGCGUGAUAUUGAAGAUAUUAAUAUGGGUGAAUAUUAGCCCCCUUAAUA